AGGUGACGGUCUCUCUGAAUCUGCGUACGGCUCCGCAAACCAGUUGCAAUACAUAGCUCGCUCAGCCGGGCGGCCUCGGCCGCUCGGCACCGCAAAAAUACGGAUAUCCCUGGUAAUUCUGGGGCUAAUACAUGGCAAAAAUAACGCGUACGGCCUGUGCGGGGGUGGUCUCACGACUGCCCUAUUCCAAACGCACGGUGCUGUGCCGGGGUGUGCGACACUCAAAACCAAGCUCGGGUACAAAAACACAUAAUCGGGACUGAACGCACGCUACGACCUGCUAGCCUCACGGCAACCGGGCGCGACCGCGAAGGGAGGGGUGGCCAGCUUGAUUGCUCGGUCCGCUACCGAACGGAGCUACGCGCUCGGGCAGGCACGGGCCACGGCUUCUGACCUAUCAAUUAGAAUGCGGUAAAAUGGGCUGCAAUGAUGGCAACGGGUACAGAGGAUAAGGGUUCGAUCCUGGAGAGUGGGCCUGAGAGAUUGCUCCUACUUCUAAGGAAGGCAGCAGGCGCGCAAAGUUCCCCUUGGGCGUACAGCUCGAGGGCGUUAGGGGAAAUAUGAAUGGCCGUCAUUAUUGGCGGCCAAUUCAAAUGGGUCUGUCGUAAACUGACUCUCGAGUAACAAUUGGAGGACAAGUCUGGUGCCAGCACCCGCGGUAAUUCCAGCUCCAAUAGCAUACGUUAAAGUUGUUGCGGUUAAAACGCUCGUAGUCGCGGUUGGGUCGUCGGACGUUUUCGCGGAUAGAGGCGCGCUCGUGUAACAGCGGGCGUGCUGAUUGAGGCGGGCUCGAAUGUCGGUCCAACCAAGGUGCCCGUGCGCGUACGGCUUCGGUCGGUUACAGGGGCCCUGCUUCACGGCGGGGCUCUGGCGUGCGGGCUCGCUCUUGCGGGGACCAAACUGGCGUGAUCAAGGCACGGUUUCCUAGCCCCUUGCACAGCUCAGCCUCGCAUGAAUGAAGCCGGGUCGCUGCACGUCCCUCCUGGGCUCCGUGCGGCGGUCCUAAGCGCACCUAAAGGGUUGUUUCCAGGGCGGCCGAAUUGUGGGGCGAGUGGUGAAAUACGUUGACCCUUGCAAGUCGACCAAAGGCGAAAGCAGCCGCCCGGGGCCUUCCCGUUGAUCAAGAGCGAAAGUUGAGGGCUCGAAGACGAUCAGAUACCGUCGUAGUCUUAACUAUAAAUGUUACUGACCAGGUAUAGGACGAUGUCCAUACCGACUCCUUCCGCGCCUUGGGGAAACUAGAGUCUAU
rnacentral:rRNA from 1 species